rnacentral:ncRNA from 1 species
UACCUGGUUGAUUCUGCCAGUAGUCAUAUGCUUGUCUCAAAGAUUAAGCCAUGCAUGUCUAAGUAUAAGCAAUUUAUACCGUGAAACUGCGAAUGGCUCAUUAAAUCAGUUAUCGUUUAUUUGAUAGUACCUUACUACUUGGAUAACCGUGGUAAUUCUAGAGCUAAUACAUGCUAAAAGCCCCGACUUCGGAAGGGGUGUAUUUAUUGAUAAAAAACCAAUGCCCUCCGGGGGCUCCUUGGUGAUUCAUAAUAACUUAACGAAUCGCAUGGCCUUGUGCCGGCGAUGGUUCAUUCAAAUUUCUGCCCUAUCAACUUUCGAUGGUAGUAUAUGGGACUACCAUGGUUUCAACGGGUAACGGGGAAUUAGGGUUCUAUUCCGGAGAGGGAGCCUGAGAAACGGCUACCACAUCCAAGGAAGGCAGCAGGCGCGCAAAUUACCCAAUCCCGACACGGGGAGGUAGUGACAAUAAAUACUGAUACAGGGCUUCUUUGGGUCUUGUAAUUGGAAUGAGUACAAUUUAAUCCCUUAACGAGGAACAAUUGGGAGGGCAAGUCUGGUGCCAGCAGCCGCGGUAAUUCCAGCUCCAAUAGCGUAUAUUAAAGUUGUUGCAGUUAAAAAGCUC